rnacentral:tRNA from 13 species
GGUUCGUUAGCUCAUUGGUAGAGCAGCGACUUUUUAAUCCGUUGGUCCCGACGUUCGAGUUCGCGGACGACCCACCA